rnacentral:rRNA from 1 species
UACGAAGGGGGCUAGCGUUGUUCGGAAUUACUGGGCGUAAAGCGCGCGCAGGCGGUUCUUCAAGUCAGAGGUGAAAGCCCAGAGCUCAACUCUGGAAUGGCCUUUGAGACUAGAGAACUUGGGUACGGGAGAGGUGAGUGGAAUUCCGAGUGUAGAGGUGAAAUUCGUAGAUAUUCGGAAGAACACCAGUGGCGAAGGCGGCUCACUGGCCCGUUACCGACGCUCAGGCGCGACAGCGUGGGGAGCAAACAG